rnacentral:rRNA from 1 species
GACGAACGCUGGCGGCGUGCUUAACACAUGCAAGUCGAGCGGUAAGGCCCUUUCGGGGUACGACGAGCGGCGAACGGGUGAGUAACACGUGGGUGACCUCGCCCUCCAGCUCUGGGAGUAAGCCUCGGGAAACCGGGUACUAAUACUGGAUAUGACUCCAUGACGCAUGUUGUGGGGUGGAAAGCCUUGUGCGGCUGAGGAUGGGCCCGCGGCCUAUCAGCUUGUUGGUGGGGUGAGGCCUACCAAGGCGACGACGGGUAGCCGGCCUGAGAGGACGACCAGCCACACUGGGACUGAGACACGGCCCAGACUCCUACGGGAGGGCAGCAGUGGGGGAAUUUUGGACAAUGGGGGCAACCCUGAUCCAGCCAUG